rnacentral:rRNA from 1 species
GAUUCAUAAUAACUUUGCGGAUCACGUUAUGUGACAUAUCAUUCAAGUUUCUGACCUAUCAGCUUUAGACGGUAGGGUAUUGGCCUACCGUGGCUAUGACGGGUAACGGGGAAUUAGGGUUCGAUUCCGGAGAGGGAGCCUGAGAAACGGCUACCACAUCUAAGGAAGGCAGCAGGCGCGCAAAUUACCCAAUCCUAAUACAGGGAGGUAGUGACAAGAAAUAACAAUACAGAACCUCACGGUUUUGUAAUUGGAAUGAGUUAAGUAUAAACCCCUUAACGAGUAUCAAUUGGAGGGCAAGUCUGGUGCCAGCAGCCGCGGUAAUUCCAGCUCCAAUAGCGUAUAUUAAAGUUGUUGCAGUUAAAAAGCUCGUAGUUGAUUUUCUGUUAAUUUUUAUGUAUAAUAUUGCGAUAUUUACAUAAUAUUAACAUAAUUCACAUUACUUUACAGUAUGUGGAAUUUUACUUUGAGAAAAUUAGAGUGCUUAAAGCAGGCUAUUGCCUUGAAUACUCCAGCAUGGAAUAAUAUUAAGGAUUUUUAUUCCUCUCCUUGGUUGUAGAAUAAAAAUAAUGAUUGGUAGCCACGGGCGGCCGUAGAAGUUGGAACCGUUACAGGGGUCCCCCUCCCCGAAGCUAACCAAAAUCCCCGUUACCCGAAAAACCCGGGAGGGCCGUUUCCUUCCCCCAAAGUAAAUGGGCGAAACCGAGAAAGAAUGUUCCCUGUCGGGUCCCCACAGUAUUUUUGCACUCAGAAAGGGGGGUUUUCUUAUAAUACCCCCCUUAAAAAA